rnacentral:rRNA from 1 species
GAUUGUUCACCCACCAAUAGGGAACGUGAGCUGGGUUUAGACCGUCGUGAGACAGGUUAGUUUUGCCCUACUGAUGACAAUGUCACAAUAGUAAUUCAACCUAGUACGAGAGGAACCAUUGAUUUGCACAAUUGGUCAUCGCGCUUGGUUAAAAGCCAGUGGUGUGAAGCUACCAUGUGCUGGAUUAUGACUAAGCACCUCUAUGUCAGAAUCUAGGAUAGAAGCGAUGCUUGCACCCGCCGCUUGCUUGUCGACCUGCAGUAGGGGCCGUCCAGCCCCCAAAGGCAUGUGUCGUUGGUGAAGCCUGCGCAGCAAAUGAGCCGCGCGGGCCGCCUUGAAGUACAAUUCCUAUCUUGAGCGGCAAGUACAAUCCUUUGCAGACGACUUAAAUACAUGAUGAGGUAUUAUAAAUAGCAAAGUGGCCUUACUGCAAUGAUCCAUUGAGAU